CAGGUAGUCAAGAUGAGAAUUCUAAGGUGAGCGAGCGAACUCUCGUUAAGGAACUCGGCAAAAUGACCCCGUAACUUCGGGAGAAGGGGUGCUCUUUAGGGUUAACGCCCAGAAGAGCCGCAGUGAAUAGGCCCAAGCGACUGUUUAUCAAAAACACAGGUCUCUGCUAAACCGUAAGGUGAUGUAUAGGGGCUGACGCCUGCCCGGUGCUGGAAGGUUAAGAGGAGUGGUUAGCUUCUGCGAAGCUACGAAUCGAAGCCCCAGUAAACGGCGGCCGUAACUAUAACGGUCCUAAGGUAGCGAAAUUCCUUGUCGGGUAAGUUCCGACCCGCACGAAAGGCGUAACGAUUUGGGCACUGUCUCAACGAGAGACUCGGUGAAAUCAUAGUACCUGUGAAGAUGCAGGUUACCCGCGACAGGACGGAAAGACCCCGUGGAGCUUUACUGUAGCCUGAUAUUGAAAUUCGGCACAGCUUGUACAGGAUAGGUAGGAGCCUUUGAAACGUGAGCGCUAGCUUACGUGGA
rnacentral:rRNA from 1 species